rnacentral:rRNA from 1 species
UGGGGAAUCUUGGACAAUGGGGGAAACCCUGACCUAGCCAUGCCGCGUGCGUGAAGAAGGUCUUAGGAUUGUAAAGCGCUUUCAGCGGGGAAGAUGAUGACGGUACCCGCAGAAGAAGCCCCGGCUAACUCCGUGCCAGCAGCCGCGGUAAUACGGAGGGGGCUAGCGUUGUUCGGAAUUACUGGGCGUAAAGGGCGUGUAGGCGGCCAAUUAAGUCAGAGGUGAAAUCCCCGAGCUCAACUUGGGAACUGCCUUUGAUACUGGUUGGCUAGAGUUCGGGAGAGGGUAGUGGAAUUCCCAGUGUAGAGGUGAAAUUCGUAGAUAUUUGGAGGAACACCAGUGGCGAAGGCGGCUCACUGGCUCGAUACUGACGCUGAGGUGCGAAAGUGUGGGGAGCAAACAGGAUUAGAUACCCUGGUAGUCCACGCCGUAAACGAUGAAUGUUAGCCGUCGGGCAGUAUACUGUUCGGUGGCGCAGCUAACGCAUUAAAACAUUCCGCCUGGGGAGUACGGUCGCAGAUUAAAACUCAAAUGAAUUGAC